rnacentral:rRNA from 1 species
UACGUAGGGGGCAAGCGUUGUCCGGAUUUAUUGGGCGUAAAGCGCGUGUAGGCGGCUGGGUAGGUCCGCUGUGAAAACUCGAGGCUCAACCUCGAGAGGUCGGUGGAAACCAUCCAGCUAGAGUCCGGAAGAGGAGAAUGGAAUUCCUGGUGUAGCGGUGAAAUGCGCAGAUAUCAGGAAGAACACCCGUGGCGAAGGCGGUUCUCUGGGACGGUACUGACGCUGAGACGCGAAAGCGUGGGGAGCAAACAGG